rnacentral:ncRNA from 1 species
UUCAUAGACCCGGGGUGCUGGAAUUGGCCGGCUGAGAUUGUAUCCCUUCAAGAUACUGACCCUUGUACCUGAUCUGGGUAAUGCCAGCGUAGGAAUUUUACAGUCAGCGGCU